GCCCAGGCAUGGCAGCCCAGCCCCUCCACCUUCACACAAGGACAGAGGAGAGCUGGGCCCCAUCAGUCUUCAGUGGAGAAAGGUGAUCUGCAGCCUGUAGGUCUAGGCAGACAUUGUGGGGUGCAGAGAGGGACGGGGGAGGUGGUGGGUUGGGUGGCAAGCAAUCCUCAACCAGGGGACAGGGAAAAAGUUUGUGGCCAAGUGUCCAUACCCCUGGUGUGGCCACAGGAAGCUGUUGUGUGGGGCUGGGGAGCAAGGCUGCAGAAGCUCAGUUUCUGCUGGGAUGAACUGGAUCAUGCUCACCACCGGGCCUCAGCAAAGCAAGGGGCAAGGGGCAAGAGGGAGAGUCCUCCACCCCACGCACAGCUCUUCACACCUGUGAAAUCCCCUGGCAGGGAGCAGACAAAACGGCAAAGGAGAGGCAGAGGAACCAGGAGAGGACGGGGCCGCCAGCCAGUGGUGGAGAUCAACCCGGAGCCAGAACCAGAGCUGGACUCCCAGCCCAAGCCCCAGGAGGAGGCUGAGCCAGUGCCCUCCGAGUCAGCAGCCCCAUCUGAGCCGGCACAUCAAGAAGAGCUGCCCGUGCUGAGCUUCCAGGAUAUGGUCAGUGGGAUGCAGCCAGGAGUGGUGGAGAGGGAGCUGGCAGCCAGGAGCCAGGAUCCUGCGGGUGAAGAGGAGGUCCUGAAACCAGCAGAAGCAGAAAUACCAGAAGCUUGGAAUACUCCUCUGGAAAAUGAGCACCAGGAUAAUGAAUGCAGCACACACCUUCUAUUUUAAUUUUCUGUUUGGGUUUUUUAAAAAAUAUUUUUACUCCUGCCUGACAAACUCCAGUAAGUGUUGCAGAGGGAUUUUGACCAGCUCCUUCCCUGUGACUAAUAAAGCCCAAACUCUCCCGAUCA
rnacentral:lncRNA from 1 species